UCUCUUGGAAAAUUCCAGUUCUUUGACUACAGGAAAACAGUAGAUUGAUUUUUAUGUUGCAAAGAACUUAGAAACAGCAUGAUAGGAUCUAAAGGCAACUCAAGAUACUACAGCACCCCGCUUACUGCAGCACUGACUCGGAUAUUUCCCAGCCAACAUUGAAAGGAGGACCUAAGGCUAGAUCCUGUUAAGCAGAUUUAGCUCCCUGUGGAACAUACUCAAGAAUCAUAGCACAUUUGCUCUUCUGUCUCAAGUCUGGACAGGACACAAAAUCCCAGUUGUCUGAAACAGGGCUGUCUGCCCAAUUUCAAGAGAGAUCAUCCAUUGGAAAAUGACAGAGGAAAAAAAAGAUCUGGGUAUAUUAGUUGAUCAUAGGAUGACACAGCUAUAAAAAGUGAUUUGUGACUGCAUCAAAUGAAUUAUUUCCACUGGAGAUAAAGAAGCAUGGUGGCCUUUGUACAAGGCACUAGUAAGACCUCAUCUGAUAGGACGUGUAAAAUUUUGUUCAUCCAUGUUCAAGAAAGAAGAGCUCAAAAUGGAACAGAUGCUGGAAAAGUUCACUAGAAUAAUAAGGGGAACAAAGAACUUAUCAAGAAACAUUAGAAUAAAACAGAGAAUGGUCCAGCUGCUAUCUGUAAAUAUGGUGGAGUAUAUAUACACCAAAGAGGAAAAAUGACCAUUUAAGCUAAAGAAAAAAAGGGGAAAUAAAGUGGCAAUGAAGAAAUAUGUUGGAAAUUUUAAAAAUGAAGUUCUGGAACAGUUUUCCAAUACAAGUAGAAAUAAAAAUUCAGCCACUUUUAACACGGAGUUUAAGUGUUUAUAUGAUGUGGUUACCUCAGCUCAGUGACCAGAUGGUCCCUUUCAGUCCUAUGUUUCUAACUGUACUCAGCCAGUUUUGUGAACAAGAUGUCAAGGGUGAAUCAGGUCAAAUACUCCACUUAGCGCGGAGCCCUCACCUGGGAAAUCAUAAAAGGGCUUUGUAUUUUUUCUUUCCUUUUCAGUUUUUUCUACAUUAAACUAGUAGCCAAAAAACACAGACUUUUUAUAAGGCAUUUUUGUUUUUGUUUUCUGAGUCAUUUUAUCUAAACUCCAGUGCAACUAAUAUACUUGGGAGAAAAGCCCUAUCAACAUUCAAAGAUUUGCUAACGUUUAUACACACAGGCAUCAUAUACUGUAUUCCUGUAUAAAAACUUCCCUGAAUAUUUUUAGCUCAGCAUGCCUAUAGAAAUAAUACUAAUAAAACAAGAGAACAUUCUUUUGAAGUAUCUUUCAUAAAUAGAAAGCAAGAGUCUAACAAAAGCCCUACAUGUCUCUGUUCAAAGAGCAAUGUAUAAGUUAGAUCUAAGGAAGUAUUACUUGAUGGUUAGGUUGGAACUAUGUAAGGCCAACUUUCUCUAUAUUGUCUGGAGACCCAUCGUUCUAUAACCUCAGGCUACUACCAGUCCUGUGAUGCCUGUAAAAAAAUGGAGCUAUGUGUGUAUCGGUAUUUGAUGAACUGAAUGAAUAAAUGUUUAAUC